AAUUAAGGAGGGACUGCCAGUACAGAUUUGCUAUAGCUGGCAUACAAGUACUACAAAUCAAGCAUAACAACUAGCCGGAUGGAGCGCCCGUGCCUGGCCUCAAAGGUACUUUACUAACUUGUGGCACAAAAUGAAAUUUCAGUGGCACCCAUUCUUCUUCAUUGUCAGGAAGUCAACCAACGUGAUACUCGGUGGAGCGUCCGUGCUCGAUCUCGUCCUGAUCGUCGUCGUCUUCCACAGCCUGUCCCCGCCGUGCUCUCUCACGGUGCUGCUCGUCGUCUCAGAUGCCACAUUGU
rnacentral:lncRNA from 1 species